GCUCGGAUGGCGGAAUUGGUAGACGCUCAGGACUUAAAAUCCUGUGGAUAGUAAUGUCCGUGUGGGUUCGAUUCCCACUCCGAGUACCG
rnacentral:tRNA from 1 species